UGCCUCUCAGGGUCACACCUGGAGAGCUCCCAGUACUCUACCAGUCUCGACUACAGGAGAGAGAGUCAGGCAGAGGCCUACCCAUUCCAUUUCUAGCUUGGCCAGUGGCUUGUGAGUGAAAGGUAAUCUGCUACAAGU